UACGUAGGGGGCGAGCGUUGUCCGGAUUUAUUGGGCGUAAAGAGCGUGUAGGCGGUUCGGUAAGUCUGUCGUGAAAUCCUGAGGCUCAACCUCGGGCGUGCGAUGGAUACUGCCGGGCUAGAGGGUGGUAGAGGCGAGUGGAAUUCCCGGUGUAGCGGUGAAAUGCGCAGAUAUCGGGAGGAACACCAGUAGCGAAGGCGGACGC
rnacentral:rRNA from 1 species